rnacentral:lncRNA from 1 species
UCUCUCUCGACAUCUAUUACUCAAAAAAAAAAAAAAAGACGACUUCUGCCGCAACUUGCCAGAGAUCGGAGAAGACCCACCAGAGCUCGUCAAGGGCCAUCCACUGCCGUUCCGGUGCUUGGACUGUUAUGGAUGACAACCGUUUCAUUCGCUCGGUUUCUUAAUCUUUACUCGUGCGUUAUUUUACAAGGAAUCGCAAACGCAACCACUGUGAACAGGUACGAAGUGAAGAUUGGACAUAGGAUGGGCCUUAGUUAACAAGA